GGUACGUGGUCUCCUCCCUUCCGAAGGGCUUUUUCACUCCCAGUCCAAUCUGUCACCUAUAAACUCGUCCCUUCCCUGGAGAAAUCGUAGCCGAGAGGCUCGGUUGCUCCGGGCUGCCUUCCGAGCAGCUCUCUCCACUUCGGUGCUGAACCUUUCGCUCCUUGGAACUGCCGGGCUCGGUUCUUCGCCGGCUGCCGGGGGCUCAUUUGGGCAACGGAGAUGCUCGGGGGCGGCCCUGGACGCGCUGAGCCAAAAAAGGCAAAACCCAGUUACAGUAACAUGGACAAAACUGUAUGAUGCACAUCCCUGCUAAUUGAAUUGACCUUGUCAGGACAGCCUUGGAAUAAACAGUGCCUGGAAUGAGUCAGGGUAAUGACAGCAGUUCAUUCUUGGCCUGUUGCAAUUUAUUCUCCCUGUUUACAUGGGAGAGGCAUCAGGGUGCUUCUUUCCCUUUUCUGAGAGGGAGGUUGGAGUGAGUGAGUAGCUGUGUGGGGCUCAGUUGCCAGCUGGAGCUAAGCCAUGAAAAUUGAUACCCCAAAAUAAGAUUCCAACAAGACAUUUGUAUUAUAUGAUGGGACAUCCUGUGGCCAUGGAACAUCUAUUUAUUGAACUUUUUAUAUAGGCUAUGUCAUGUCUCUAGCCUGUUCCAUAUUUGCAAAGUGCUCAGAUUAAUGCAUAUUCUGAGAUGUAUAGUAGGUUUCUUAGAUUUCUACAAUGCCUUUCCUGCACGGACAUUUCACCACACUACAGACUCUAAGAAACGUGAAUACCACUGCCUGGAACAUGAGUAAUAUGGCAAGAAGAGCUUUAGGUACUGAGGCACCAACCACAUUCUAUCUUUGGGAAUAGUUCUGAUCUGGGAACUGGAUUGGAAUCAGAUUAAUGAGUGAUUCUGUGCAACUAUUUGACAUGGAGAACUGAACUGCUGGUGGCCAAAGAGGAGGUGUCAGAAAAAGGCCAGUGCUUAGCCAGUGGACAUACUAAGACAGAAAACCCAAGUAUCCACUUUUUUUAUUUUAAAUGCUGACUAAGCUGCUCAAAAAUUAGGAAGAAGGUCAAAAAAUGGAUUCAGAAUUGCAAAUUAUUACAAGGAAAAGAUCUAGUUUCAUUUAUUUUCUCUUCCAUGGAGUCAACUUUUUAUUUCACAGAUUUACCUAUUAAGUAAAUGAUGAUAUCAAAAGUCUGUGAUGUUCUAGCACUGGAGGUAGAAAUGACAACAGAAAAUAAUGUCAAAAGAAUGCAUGAGUUAAAGUUCUCCAUAUAGAAGCACAGACUCUCAGCAGCCUGGCAAUAAUUCUGCUGAAGUCAAGUUGCUUCCUCACAGAAUAAGAAAUCACUUUGUACUGAUGGACACUUCUGUCUUGUGGGGCGGCAGACUUUUUGAUUUGCAUUAGUCACCACAAAACCUGGUAAUUUCUGUACAUUUAUUUCUUUAUCUAUCUGUUCUCUGUCAGUGGGUUCUGUUACUUCUGUGCUUUUUGUAUAUCUCUGACUCUUACUGUAAUUGUCAUGUGAGAGUAAGAGAAUAUUUGGCAUACCGUCAGCAUGUCAUUGAAAAACAAUAAAAAUGUCUUUCUUAGAGAUUCA